AAAACAUGCAACAUUACAUAUUGCAACCAUGGGAAGAAGCCAAUUGAAAUACCAGCCAACUGCUACCAUUGUCCUGCUUACAGAUGUGUGACAAGACUUGGGGCAGAGAUCCUGGAGGAAGGUUCAGACAGUCUUCUGUUCUGCUCAGUGUCCUCUGUCCCUCCAGCUUUUCUCACCUGGACAGUAAACGGUCUCAAGGUUGGGAACUCAGCUUUAUACAUAACAGAGAGCAGCAGCACGACCCACAGUGCAAGCUACACCUGCACAGCAUCAAACAACAUUACUGGAAUCAGGGCCAGUGCAUCACACACCCUCACAGUACAGUUUUACAGUCUCAGUUCAAGGUGCACUCAAUAAAAUUUGAGUUUAUGUUGUGGUGACACCUAGUGGCAUACCGAUAUCGUUGUAAAAACAAAAAAGAAAAAAAAAAAAGAGAAAAAAAUCAGUCAUGGUUAAUUUAUUCCUGAGCGAAAGCGUCAGUUAAAGGGGAUUAUGUCACCUCAAAAUAGCAACACUCAUAAAUGUGAGCCCAGCACCAUAGAGUAUGUAGAAUUAAGUGGCUUUUCCUCUAAGACUGGUGUAGUCUUCAUCUCAUAUAGGUGUCAUUUUAAAUACAGUAUAUAUAUAUAUUUCAAAAAUACCAUUCUACUUUUUCUUUUUCUUUCUGUUUAAAAGUUUAGCAAUUAGCAAAUUAAUUAAACAAAAUUCAACAAAAUACUGAGUGCACCUCUAAAUCGUAUUCAAUGAUGUAGACCAUUAGCUGAAAUAUACUGUUUGUUAGUUAAAGAACAAAGGUUAGGUUAUGGCUAAUACUAAUCUCAGAUGGUAUACCAGAGGAUAAUAAAUUGAUGCUGUAUAUUAUGUGUUAAUGUUUGUGAGUGUGUGUUUGCCCUAUAUGAUUUUGUUUGUGCUUAUAUAUGUAUGUUGUAAUGCUGUUCUUAUUGGUUGUCUUUAGCUAAAAAGCCUGGGAUGAGUCCUGGAGAAAUAGCAGGUAUCGUAGUGGGAGUUUUAUUGGCAGUGCUCUUAGCAAUUAGUGUCUCUUACAUAAUACACUUUCGGUAAGUCCUCUCUCUGGUCUUUUAAAAAAAAAAAAAAAAUAAAAACACCAAAGGUCAGAUUGUCUUAUAUUAAGGUUUAUGAGAUAAAUACUUUGUCAUAUAUUGUCUAAAGUGACUGAAUAGAUUGAACAGCAUUUAAGCGUGAAAAAGCUGGGAAAUAUACUUUUUUAAAAUAUAAAAUUUAUAAAUAUGGACAGAAUAAAUUAAAUGUUUAUGGAUAUUUCAGAAAGUCAAAUGGCUGUACAUGGAUAGCACCCAGAGAAAGUGAGUUGUCAUUUAGUCAGCUUCAAAUGUUGCUAAUAGUACGACAUCCUGAUAUUAACAUACAGAGUAAAACACUUAUAACAUUGGCAACGAUUGACACUCUGUUAUCUUUGUAAUGAGACACACAGCUGAGGGGGAGAGUGAGAUGGCACAGCCCAAACACACUUCCAGAGAAAAAACAACUGACUUCAAACAUCAGAAUCCCAAAAGACAACACAUAUAUGAGGAUGUCUCAACACCAGAUGAACCCAUUUAUCUAAACUGAAACCAGGUGGACCACCUAAAACACACCAUGCAACCUAAGGCCCUCAUUAGUGGGGACAGCCAGGAAAACUGUCCCAAUGCCCUGUGAUGAGGGGGGCCCAUCAAAGUCUUCUAUAGUAAAGCCUACUCUUUGGACCCUGGGGAGAGGGGGGCCAUGAAUUUUAGCGGCAGCCCUAAUGCAACCAAGUUCUGAUUACAUUAUCUUUUAGUCUAUAUUAUGUACUAUUGCUUUUGGGAAAGUUUGGUGGUUUAUGUCAUGCUUUUAUUUUGAAAUAUAUAAUGUUUUAUAAUUUAAAAUCUCGUGAUCAACAUAAUGGUUGUUAUUUUUUAUUGUCGCUUUCUUAUUUUAAAAUAUGCAACUCAGCUGCUGCCCUUUCUAGAGAUUUUAAAAACAAAAUAAAUUACAGUUAGGUGGUUACAAUUGUUGCAAGCUUUCAUUUAGUAAUGGAUAUAAAUGAAAUUUACUUUAAAACUUAAUAUUUAUGUUUACUAUAGUAAGUGUUUUGUUUUUUAACAAGCAGGCCUACAUAUUUUCCUCAGUGAAUGUUUGCUUCUCUUUGUUAUUUCAGUGAGUUUUGGAUCCUCCUCUUAGAUUUAAUGUUUUAACGGAACAGUCCAGAUGAAGCAGUAUUGUUACCAUGUAAUAAGUCAGGUACUCAUCCCGCAAUAGCCAACUUGAACACUGAAGGGGUCAGUCUCUUGAUUUGUAUUUUGAUCUCUAUGGCAGCCUGCACCUAAUUAGUCAAUGUACACUACAAGGCCAUUAAAAGUAUUAUUAUUCCUCACUGUUUUAACAAGCUAAUGUAUUGGUUUCUUGUUUUGUUUUGUUUUUCCUCACAUAAACCUAUUUUUUGUAUUAUAUCAACUCUAUAUAUAGUAUUAUAUUAACUCUUAACAUAUGUACAAUUAACAGUUGAAAAUACAGACUGGAAUAUUCACAAAAUUUCUCAUUUUGUGUUCCACAUAAGAAAGUCAUACAGAGUCAUACAUAGCAUAAAUUACGACUGAAUUUUCAUUUUUGGGUUUACCAUUCCUUUAAGGCCAAUUUAGGUUUAUGCCAGAUAUUCAAGACACAAAUCAAAUCAACCUUAAAAUGUCUCCUUUUA